UUACGGCCAUAUCGCAUUGAAACACCGGCUCCCGUAUGAUUACCGCAGUUAACUAACGUCAAGCCUAAUAACUAGAUGGGUGACCGCUUGGGAAUACCAGGUGCUGUAAG